rnacentral:rRNA from 1 species
UGCUAAUCUGCGAUAAGCGCCGGUAAGGUGAUAUGAACCGUUAUAACCGGCGAUACCCGAAUGGGGAAACCCAGUGUGACUCGUCACACUAUCAUUAACUGAAUCCAUAGGUUAAUGAGGCGAACCGGGGGAACUGAAACAUCUAAGUACCCCGAGGAAAAGAAAUCAACCGAGAUUCCCCCAGUAGCGGCGAGCGAACGGGGAGGAGCCCAGAGCCUGAAUCAGCAUGUGUGUUAGUGGAAGCGUCUGGAAAGGCGCGCGAUACAGGGUGACAGCCCCGUACACAAAAGCGCAUGUGCUGUGAGCUCGAUGAGUAGGGCGGGACACGUGGUAUCCUGUCUGAAUAUGGGGGGACCAUCCUCCAAGGCUAAAUACUCCUGACUGACCGAUAGUGAACCAGUACCGUGAGGGAAAGGCGAAAAGAACCCCGGCGAGGGGAGUGAAAAAGAACCUGAAACCGUGUACGUACAAGCAGUGGGAGCACCCUUUGGGUGUGACUGCGUACCUUUUGUAUAAUGGGUCAGCGACUUAUAUUCUGUAGCAAGGUUAACCGAAUAGGGGAGCCGGAGGGAAACCGAGUCUUAACCGGGCGUUAAGUUGCAGGGUAUAGACCCGAAACCCGGUGAUCUAGCCAUGGGCAGGUUGAAGGUUGGGUAACACUAACUGGAGGACCGAACCGACUAAUGUUGAAAAAUUAGCGGAUGACCUGUGGCUGGGGGUGAAAGGCCAAUCAAACCGGGAGAUAGCUGGUUCUCCCCGAAAGCUAUUUAGGUAGCGCCUCGUGAAUUCAUCUCCGGGGGUAGAGCACUGUUUCGGCUAGGGGGCCAUCCCGGCUUACCAACCCGAUGCAAACUGCGAAUACCGGAGAAUGUUAUCACGGGAGACACACGGCGGGUGCUAACGUCCGUCGUGAAGAGGGAAACAACCCAGACCGCCAGCUAAGGUCCCAAAGUCAUGGUUAAGUGGGAAACGAUGUGGGAAGGCCCAGACAGCCAGGAUGUUGGCUUAGAAGCAGCCAUCAUUUAAAGAAAGCGUAAUAGCUCACUGGUCGAGUCGGCCUGCGCGGAAGAUGUAACGGGGCUAAACCAUGCACCGAAGCUGCGGCAGCGACACUGUGUGUUGUUGGGUAGGGGAGCGUUCUGUAAGCCUGUGAAGGUGUGUCGUGAGGCAUGCUGGAGGUAUCAGAAGUGCGAAUGCUGACAUAAGUAACGAUAAAGCGGGUGAAAAGCCCGCUCGCCGGAAGACCAAGGGUUCCUGUCCAACGUUAAUCGGGGCAGGGUGAGUCGACCCCUAAGGCGAGGCCGAAAGGCGUAGUCGAUGGGAAACGGGUUAAUAUUCCCGUACUUGGUGUUACUGCGAAGGGGGGACGGAGAAGGCUAUGUUGGCCGGGCGACGGUUGUCCCGGUUUAAGCGUGUAGGUGUGUGUUCCAGGUAAAUCCGGUUCACUUUAACACUGAGGCGUGACGACGAGGCACUACGGUGCUGAAGCAACAAAUGCCCUGCUUCCAGGAAAAGCCUCUAAGCAUCAGGUAACAUCAAAUCGUACCCCAAACCGACACAGGUGGUCAGGUAGAGAAUACCAAGGCGCUUGAGAGAACUCGGGUGAAGGAACUAGGCAAAAUGGUGCCGUAACUUCGGGAGAAGGCACGCUGACACGUAGGUGAAGUGAUUUACUCAUGGAGCUGAAGUCAGUCGAAGAUACCAGCUGGCUGCAACUGUUUAUUAAAAACACAGCACUGUGCAAACACGAAAGUGGACGUAUACGGUGUGACGCCUGCCCGGUGCCGGAAGGUUAAUUGAUGGGGUCAGCGCAAGCGAAGCUCCUGAUCGAAGCCCCGGUAAACGGCGGCCGUAACUAUAACGGUCCUAAGGUAGCGAAAUUCCUUGUCGGGUAAGUUCCGACCUGCACGAAUGGCGUAAUGAUGGCCAGGCUGUCUCCACCCGAGACUCAGUGAAAUUGAACUCGCUGUGAAGAUGCAGUGUACCCGCGGCAAGACGGAAAGACCCCGUGAACCUUUACUAUAGCUUGACACUGAACAUUGAGCCUUGAUGUGUAGGAUAGGUGGGAGGCUUUGAAGUGUGGACGCCAGUCUGCAUGGAGCCGACCUUGAAAUACCACCCUUUAAUGUUUGAUGUUCUAACGUGGACCCGUUACCCGGGUUGCGGACAGUGUCUGGUGGGUAGUUUGACUGGGGCGGUCUCCUCCUAAAGAGUAACGGAGGAGCACGAAGGUUGGCUAAUCCUGGUCGGACAUCAGGAGGUUAGUGCAAUGGCAUAAGCCAGCUUGACUGCGAGCGUGACGGCGCGAGCAGGUGCGAAAGCAGGUCAUAGUGAUCCGGUGGUUCUGAAUGGAAGGGCCAUCGCUCAACGGAUAAAAGGUACUCCGGGGAUAACAGGCUGAUACCGCCCAAGAGUUCAUAUCGACGGCGGUGUUUGGCACCUCGAUGUCGGCUCAUCACAUCCUGGGGCUGAAGUAGGUCCCAAGGGUAUGGCUGUUCGCCAUUUAAAGUGGUACGCGAGCUGGGUUUAGAACGUCGUGAGACAGUUCGGUCCCUAUCUGCCGUGGGCGCUGGAGAACUGAGGGGGGCUGCUCCUAGUACGAGAGGACCGGAGUGGACGCAUCACUGGUGUUCGGGUUGUCAUGCCAAUGGCACUGCCCGGUAGCUAAAUGCGGAAGAGAUAAGUGCUGAAAGCAUCUAAGCACGAAACUUGCCCCGA